AACGCAUAUUGCGCCCAAGGUCUCGGCCAAGGGCAUGUCUGCCUCAGCGUCGGCUUACACCCUCGCUCUCCUCUCCAUUGUGAGCAGUCAGAGCGGAUCUGGCCUUCUCGGGAGUUGACUGCCAUUACUGGCAGUCAAGCCGGGUUGGCUGAAGCACAGAGGCUUGAGCAUGGACCCGUUUGCAGGGCAAUAGCUUGGUAGGUAGGAUUCCCUACACACCGCUUUUGGCCGAGGGAUCUUUGCUGGGAGCCUAGCAGGAACCAGAGUCCCGCCUUGGUGGGCUCUGAACCAAACUUCGACCUGAGCUCAGGCAAGAUUACCCGCUGAACUUAA
rnacentral:misc_RNA from 1 species